UGAGCUCAAAAGACAAGACAAGAACUCGAAACAAAAACAAAACAAAAACUUUCACGUUUACUUCUUUUUAAAAUUUGAAAUUCAAAACCAAUCGAUUAAAGCAAACGUAUUUAAAGAACACAUUCUGAAUUUAUGUGAUUCUAUAGUAUCUUUUUUCAGAAUUGGUUCUCGAGCGCGCAUCUCACUUCAUCUGAUACAUAGUUAGGAAUCACGACGCAAUUAUUUUGGCAAGGGCACUUGUACCAAAAACUCUUCCGCGUGAUGGCUUGAUCUGCAAAAGUGUAUCAGCAUUCCACACAUGUUGAGUAAAUAGACGUACAGAAAGACCAACGAUUAUAGGCCGAGUGGGGGACAGAGCUUUUGGAUAUUAAGACUAGAAAUAAUGUAGGAUGAUCCUCGUUCUCCAAUAUUUGCCAUCUUUCACCACUCCAACCGUUUCGGUUUGCAAACACAGGCAACACAGUAUCACUGAUGAUGAUGGCAGGUUCUAUAUAGCUAUAUGGUGUUCUUUUAACCCACGAGUGCGCAUGUUUACAUAUAUGCUUACGUACAAUGGAGUGGCGUCUUAUCUCGCCUUACAUUUACGCAGUUGUUCCGCCCAUCAAAAAGCUCGCUUAAUUUUCAUGGUUGGUUCACAAUUGAUUCCAAUGCAAACGUUUCUGUAUUUAAUUAUUGCCUAUACAAUUAACUGCCAUUAGAUACUAUUAAUAAAGAAUAAUCUAAAGCAUCCUCCAUUUCAACUCGCAACGUGUAGUUUUGUUCUUGUUUAUUAAUUUGCUGAUCCAUUGAAAAUUAAUACAAAGAAGUUUUCACAAAUUUCAAAUGCUUUUUUAAAUGCUUAUGUUGAUAGUUCUCGUUUCAGUGCUCUGGUUUGUUUCUUACUUGCCAGACUGAAAACGAAAGAAAAUAAUUUUCCUUCCGUUG